rnacentral:rRNA from 1 species
GUCCACGCCCUAAACGAUGAGAACUUGAUGUUGGUCCCGCAAGGGAUCAGUGUCGGAGAUAACUCGUUAAGUUCUCCACCUGGGAAGUACGCUCGCAAGGGUGAAACUCAAAGGAAUUGACGGGGCCCGCACAAGCGGUGGAACAUGUGGUUUAAUUCGAUGCAACGCGAAAACCUUACCUAGGUUUGAAAGGCCGGUAGUAAAGAGAUGAAAGUCAAAUGAACCGUAAAGUCGGUUGCCGGUACAGGUGCUGCAUGGCUGUCGU